GUCCCUUCGGGGACAUCCGAUAAAAUUGGAACGAUACAGAGAAGAUUAGCAUGGCUCAUGCGCAAGGAUGACACGAAAAAAAAAAAAAAACUUCAAGCCUAU
rnacentral:snRNA from 1 species